rnacentral:tRNA from 1 species
GGUUCCAUACUUCUGCCUAAAGCGGCGGGCUCUUAACCCGUUGGUCGAGGGUUCAACUCCCUCCGGGCCCA